rnacentral:rRNA from 1 species
AUGCAAGUCGAGCGGACAGAUGGGAGCUUGCUCCCUGAUGUUAGCGGCGGACGGGUGAGUAACACGUGGGUAACCUGCCUGUAAGACUGGGAUAACUCCGGGAAACCGGGGCUAAUACCGGAUGGUUGUUUGAACCGCAUGGUUCAAACAUAAAAGGUGGCUUCGGCUACCACUUACAGAUGGACCCGCGGCGCAUUAGCUAGUUGGUGAGGUAAUGGCUCACCAAGGCAACGAUGCGUAGCCGACCUGAGAGGGUGAUCGGCCACACUGGGACUGAGACACGGCCCAGACUCCUACGGGAGGCAGCAGUAGGGAAUCUUCCGCAAUGGACGAAAGUCUGACGGAGCAACGCCGCGUGAGUGAUGAAGGUUUUCGGAUCGUAAAGCUCUGUUGUUAGGGAAGAACAAGUACCGUUCGAAUAGGGCGGUACCUUGACGGUACCUAACCAGAAAGCCACGGCUAACUACGUGCCAGCAGCCGCGGUAAUACGUAGGUGGCAAGCGUUGUCCGGAAUUAUUGGGCGUAAAGGGCUCGCAGGCGGUUUCUUAAGUCUGAUGUG